rnacentral:lncRNA from 1 species
GUGACGUUAUUCCUUUCAGGAGCUCCACAAUUUGGGUUUCACACUGGAUAAAGAGCAAGACUUAAGAAUCCAGUGGCAUUCAACGCCGGCAGAGCUCCCCUGGAGAAUGGAAGCGAGGCCUCCACCUCCUUCCUAGCAUGCCUGUUACUGCUUGGAAACGGCUAAGUGGUCCUUGCCAGGGUCACUCUCCCCAAAACAAGAAUAUAGGCUGCGGAAUCAGUGGAACAAAGACAGAGAAGACACCAGCUGCUUCGGAGUUCAGAGAUGGUCUUCGAGGGCCUAGAACAAUGACAAAGAAUAUAUUCCUCCUGCACUGCUCCGCUAACAGGUGAACACUUUAAGGGUAAGGGAAGAUUCUUACUUUUCACAAACCAAGAACAAACGUUUGGCUGCUGAGGUUAAGUAACCAGGGGAGUCUAACACAUCACGUGAAUAACUUACCCAUUCCAUUGUGAUAGUUAAUGUAAGAUUUUUGACAAGGAUAGAAAUAAAUGUAUGAAAUGGUGACAAGAAUAGGUAUUCUAAGACUCAAAUCAAGAUAAAUAAAACGCCAUAAUUGUGUAUUUUUCAGUAAAGAAUCUAUUUCGUUUGGACGAAGGUUCAUUUUCAGGAUAAUUUUUAGACCGCAGAAUAUUAAAAUUUGGCGUCGCUGGAGAAUAAACAGCUUGAUUAAGCGCCCUGUCUCACAGAUGACCUUCAAUCUUGGCCUUCCACAGUGCCACCAUCUAGCCAUUCCUGUUUCUGCAGUCUUCAACCCGCCUUUCUCCAGAGAGCCUAGGACGAGUUUGACAUCGCUAAAUCCAGAGGGGGCAGACGGGAAAGGAUUUACUGUCAUCCUUUGAGAAAAGCACCUGCUCUUAAGACGCAUCCGAGUCUUAAGGCAUUAAAAUAAGCCAGUGACAAGAAAUACUAAUAAAAGUGCAUAGUAAAUGAGUAAAGAAAAGAUAAACAGUGAGUUUUAAUUGGUGAUGAAAGGCAUGGAAUAGGAAAAUAAUGCAUAAAUUAGGG